UACAGAGGUCUCAAGCGUUGUUCGGAUUCAUUGGGCGUAAAGGGUGCGUAGGUGGCGGGGUAAGUCAGGUGUGAAAUUUCGGAGCUUAACUCCGAAACUGCAUUUGAUACUGCCUUGCUUGAGGACUGGAGAGGAGACUGGAAUUCACGGUGUAGCAGUGAAAUGCGCAGAUAUCAGGAGGAACACCGGUGGCGAAGGCGGUUCUCUGGGCAUUACCUGACGCUGAGGAGCGAAAGCCAGGGGAGCAAACGGG
rnacentral:rRNA from 1 species